UCCCUGGUGGCUCAGACGGUAAAGCAUCUGCCUGCAAUGCAGGAGACCUAGAUUCGAUCCCUGGGUGGAGAA
rnacentral:tRNA from 1 species